GAUGAACGCUGGCGGCGUGCCUAAUACAUGCAAGUCGAGCGAACGGACGAGAAGCUUGCUUCUCUGAUGUUAGCGGCGGACGGGUGAGUAACACGUGGAUAACCUACCUAUAAGACUGGGAUCACUUCGGGAAACCGGCGCUAAUACCGGAUAAUAUUUUGAACCGCAUGGUUCAAAAGUGAAAGACGGUCUUGCUGUCACUUAUAGAUGGAUCCGCGCUGCAUUAGCUAGUUGGUAAGGUAACGGCUUACCACGGCAACGAUGCAUAUCCGACCUGAGAGGGGGAUCGGCCACACGGGAACGGAGACACGGUCCAGAGUACUACGGGACGGAGCAGAAGGGAAUCUUACGCAAUGGGCGAAAGCCUGACGGAGCAACGCCGAGUGAGUGAUGAAGGUCUUCGGAUCGUAAAACUCUGUUAUUAGGGAAGAACAUAUGUGUAAGGAACUGUGCACAUCUUGACGGUAACUAAUCAGAAAGCCACGGCUAACUACGUG
rnacentral:rRNA from 1 species